rnacentral:lncRNA from 1 species
GAAUAUGUAAGAGAGAAGGUCAUGGAGCACUGCAGUUUGGAUUCUGGGAUGCGCCCGACACUUAAGGUAGUGAGGGGAGGAUAGCAGUCGAGGGAGAGUAAUACGCAUGUUUGAUGAUAUUCUUAACAAUUCCUUUUCAUAUUUCAGGGGUGGUGAUGUCUGUACAAGUGCCAUGUCUUCCUUGAGGCCAUGUAUACGACCACGUCUUAAUGUUGAUGACAUGAUUGUUAUAGUAUAACAAAUAUAAACAGCUUGGUCAGAAUUUCGUAAAAAAAUGUUUUUAAUGCGAUCACAUUGUACCAAGUUUGGUCCAACAAACCCAUGAUUUCAGUUGUAAGAAACCAGGAGCUGCUUAUUGUUUUGCCCCCAACUCCGAUUAACAAAUUGAUUGUAGCUUUCUCCUCA